GACGAACGCUGGCGGCGUGCCUAAUACAUGCAAGUAGUGCGGUCCUUUUAAAAGCUUGCUUUUAAAAGGUUAGCUGCGGACGGGUGAGUAACACGUGGGCAACCUGCCUGUAAGACUGGGAUAACGCCGGGAAACCGGGGCUAAUACCGGAUCGCUAUUCCUCAGCAUGGAGGAUUAAGGAAAGGCGGCUACGGCUGCCACUCACAGAUGGCCUCGCGGCGAAUUAGCUAGUAGGCGGGGUAACGGCCCACCAAGGCAACGAUCCGUAGCCGACCUGAGAGGGUGAUCGGCCACAUUGGGACUGAGACACGGCCCAGACUCCUACGGGAGGCAGCAGUAGGGAAUCUUCCGCAAUGGGCGAAAGUCUGACGGAGCAACGCCGCGUGAGUGAAGAAGGCCUUCGGGUCGUAAAGCUCUGUUGCCGGUGAAGAACGAGUGCCGGUCUGGCAGGGCGGCACCGUGACGGUAGCCGGCCAGAAAGCCACGGCUAACUACGUG
rnacentral:rRNA from 1 species